CAUUAGAUGGCUGAAAUUUAAGUAUUGGUCUCUUAAACCAUUUUAUAGUAAUUAAAAACUACUUCUAAUGA
rnacentral:tRNA from 1 species